UACGGGGGGUGCAAGCGUUGUCCGGAAUCAUUGGGCGUAAAGAGUUCGUAGGUGGCAUGUUAAGUCUGGUGUUAAAGCCCGAAGCUCAACUUCGGUUCGGCACUGGAUACUGGCAAGCUUGAAUGCGGUAGAGGUAAAGGGAAUUCCUGGUGUAGCGGUGAAAUGCGUAGAUAUCAGGAGGAACAUCGGUGGCGUAAGCGCUUUACUGGGCCGUAAUUGACACUGAGGAACGAAAGCCGGGGUAGCAAAUGGG
rnacentral:rRNA from 1 species